GGUGUGUGUGAGUUGGUCAGUCUGUUUAGGUUACUGCCCCUCCCCUCCCCCCCCUUUGAGUACAUGGAAAAGGUGUUUUUACUUAUUUUUUCCCCACAGCUUGCCUGUCUUGCCCAGCCUCCAUGGCUGAGAUGAUCAAUCUUGAUGAUCUCAGCCAGCCUAUGCUUUCCCAUAUGAAAGCAUUGGAAGGCUAUUGCGCAUGCACUAAUCGGGAUCUUUUCACAGAGAUCCAUUGAAUCAAGUCCAAGAUACUAAAU